AAUGAUGAGUUUAGAGUGAGGAGUUUAUUUGAGGGGUUCAAUUCCAUUAUCAACAAAUGUAAGGAAAUCAAUGAACUUAAACAUUUCAAAUGGUUUGAUGGUGGGAUUGAACCCCUCAAAUAAGUUUCUCACUCUAAAAUCCUCAU
rnacentral:miRNA from 1 species